rnacentral:rRNA from 1 species
UAAAGGGCAUUUGGUGGAUGCCUUGGCGCGCAGAGGCGAUGAAGGACGUGGCACGCUGCGAAAAGCCCCGGGGAGUUGCGAGCGGACUUUGAUCCGGGGAUGUCCGAAUGGGGGAACCCACACCUUCGGGUGUAUCGCGCACUGAAUCCAUAGGUGUGCGAGGCGAACGCGGGGAACUGAAACAUCUCAGUACCCGUAGGAAAGGAAAUCAACCGAGACUCCGUGAGUAGUGGCGAGCGAAAGCGGACUAGGCCAGUGGCUUUGGGUCGAAAACCGGAACAGUCUGGAACGGCUGGCGAUAUGGGUGACAGCCCCGUACGGGUAGAUUCGGCUCAGGGUCCUUGAGUAGGGCGGGACACGUGAAAUCCUGUCUGAACAUGGGGGGACCACCCUCCAAGCCUAAGUACUCCUCAGCGACCGAUAGUGAACAAGUACCGUGAGGGAAAGGUGAAAAGUACCCCGGGAGGGGAGUGAAAUAGUACCUGAAACCGUGUGCCUACAAGCCGUGAGAGCCUUAUGCCGCUUCGGUG